GACGAACGCUGGCGGCGUGCUUAACACAUGCAAGUCGAACGGAAAGGCCCUGCUUUUGUGGGGUGCUCGAGUGGCGAACGGGUGAGUAACACGUGAGUAACCUGCCCUUGACUUUGGGAUAACUUCAGGAAACUGGGGCUAAUACCGGAUAGGAGCUCCUGCUGCAUGGUGGGGGUUGGAAAGUUUCGGCGGUUGGGGAUGGACUCGCGGCUUAUCAGCUUGUUGGUGGGGUAGUGGAUUACCACGGCUUUGACGGGUAGCCGGCGUGAGAGGGUGACCGGCCACAUUGGGACUGAGAUACGGCCCAGACGCCUACGGGAGGCAGCAGUGGGGAAUAUUGCACAAUGGGCGGAAGCCUGAUGCAGCAACGCCGCGUGCGGGAUGACGGCCUUCGGGUUGUAAACCGCUUUCGCCUGUGACGAAGCGUGAGUGACGGUAAUGGGUAAAGAAGCACCGGCUAACUACGUG
rnacentral:rRNA from 1 species